AUUGAACGCUGGCGGCAGGCCUAACACAUGCAAGUCGAGCGGUAGAGAGAAGCUUGCUUCUCUUGAGAGCGGCGGACGGGUGAGUAAUGCCUAGGAAUCUGCCUGGUAGUGGGGGAUAACGUUCGGAAACGAACGCUAAUACCGCAUACGUCCUACGGGAGAAAGCAGGGGACCUUCGGGCCUUGCGCUAUCAGAUGAGCCUAGGUCGGAUUAGCUAGUUGGUGAGGUAAUGGCUCACCAAGGCGACGAUCCGUAACUGGUCUGAGAGGAUGAUCAGUCACACUGGAACUGAGACACGGCCCAGACUCCUACGGGAGGCAGCAGUGGGGAAUUUUGGACAAUGGGCGCAAGCCUGAUCCAGCAAUGCCGCGUGCAGGAUGAAGGCCUUCGGGUUGUAACUAGCUUUGUUACGGUAAC
rnacentral:rRNA from 1 species